rnacentral:rRNA from 1 species
UACAGAGGGUGCAAGCGUUGCUCGGAAUCAUUGGGCGUAAAGGGUAUGUAGGUGGUCUCAUUUGUCUGGGGUGAAAUCCUUGAGCUUAACUCAAGAAGUGCCCCAGAAACGGUGAGACUAGAGUUCUGGAGAGGGUCGUGGAAUUCCCGGUGUAGCGGUGAAAUGCGUAGAGAUCGGGAGGAACACCAGAGGCGAAGGCGGCGACCUGGACAGAUACUGACACUCAAAUACGAAAGCGUGGGGAGCAAACAGG